UCGAACGUAAGAUGACUGUAGGUGAAAGCUUACAUCUCUUCGGAGCAUUUUACGAGGUGCUGCAUGGUUGUCGUCAGCUCGUGCCGUGAGGUGUCGGGUAAGUCCCAUAACGAGCGCAACCCUACCUUUAGUUGCCAUCAGGUAAUGCUGGGGACUCUAAAGGAACUGCCUACGCAAGUAGUGAGGAAGGCGGGGAUGACGUCAAAUCAGCACGGCCCUUACGUCCAGGGCUACACACGUGCUACAAUGGCCGAUACAGAGGGCAGCUACCUGGUGACAGGAUGCAAAUCUCCAAAGUCGGUCUCAGUUCGGAUUGGAGUCUGCAACUCGACUCCAUGAAGUUGGAAUCGCUAGUAAUCGUGGAUCAGCAUGCCACGGUGAAUACGUUCCCGGGCCUU
rnacentral:rRNA from 1 species